GGGACAGACAGGCAAGUGGAGCUCAGGCAGCAACAGGAAGGAAGGACACAAAGCAGUUGAAUAUUAUGGCUGAUGGGGUGGGGAGAGCAGAGGAGACAUGGCCAGCAAGGAAAGCGUAGGCACUGGAGAUGGGUUGCAAAGGUGCAGCAGCAGCAAGACACGGUGGUGUAACUCUUACAACUCCAGGGAAGCUAAAACAGGGACCCUUUCUGUCUGGACCCUCAGCAUUUCCAUCCUGUUCCCUGCCUAAGGGUCAACGCGAGCAUGUCGAGCCCCGCUGUCUCCGGAAAGGCUGAAGAGUAGCCAGCGAGCAAAGUUGUGAUUAUAUUCCUUGGAGCUGCUUAAGCCUGGGAGAAGAAUUGGCCCCAGGAGUUUUAUCUUGAAAAUGUCCCUUGAAAAUCCCACACCUUGGCUAGGAAGAUUAAAAGGGUCAGCAAACUCCGCCGGAGGGGCGCACGCAUUCGCCAUUUGAGCACCCCCCUAUUUGGAGAGAUUUGAGCUUCCUUCUUUUUUUGGGAGGGAGGCCAACCUGGACACGUCGACUCCAGCAUGGGGCCUUUUGCCCUGGCAGUCAGGAUUGGGAGCCCAGCUUUUGGUAAGACGUCUUCAUG